UACGUAGGGACCGAGCGUUGUCCGGAAUCAUUGGGCGUAAAGAGCGUGUAGGCGGCCACUUAAGUCCUGCGUGAAAUCUUGCGGCUCAACCGCAAGCGGUCGUGGGAAACUGGGUGGCUAGAGUGCGGGAGAGGAGAGUGGAAUUCCUGGUGUAGCGGUGGAAUGCGCAGAUAUCAGGAGGAACACCCGUAGCGAAGGCGGCACUCUGGGCCGGAACUGACGCUGAGGAGCGAAAGCGUGGGGAGCGAACAGG
rnacentral:rRNA from 1 species